GACAGAGGGUGCAAACGUUGUUCGGAAUUACUGGGCGUAAAGCGCGUGUAGGCGGCCCUGCAAGUCGGGUGUGAAAUCCCACGGCUCAACCGUGGAAGUGCACUCGAAACUGCAGGGCUAGAGUCCUGGAGAGGAAGGUGGAAUGCUUGGUGUAGAGGUGAAAUUCGUAGAUAUCAGGAGGAACGCCAAUGGCGAAGGCAAGUCUCUGGACAGUUCCUGACGCUCAUGCACGAAGGCCAGGGGAGCAAACGGG
rnacentral:rRNA from 1 species